GCAACAGCUCAGAUUUGGAAUCUGGCCCCUAGGCGGAGUUGUAAUCUGGAGAGGAUGUUUCUGGCGCGGCGCCUUCCGAGUUCCCUGGAACGGGACGCCGGAGAGGGUGAGAGCCCCGUACGGUUGGACGCCUAGCCUUUGUGAAACUCCUUCGACGAGUCGAGUAGUUUGGGAAUGCUGCUCAAAAUGGGAGGUAAAUUUCUUCUAAAGCUAAAUACCGGCCAGAGACCGAUAGCGCACAA
rnacentral:rRNA from 1 species